rnacentral:lncRNA from 1 species
GACUGAGGGCGACCAUGGGCCCCGAAAGGGCUGCGGGCGACGCGGGCUCCCACCUCGGGGCGCGGUGACUGGGGCGAGAGGUGCCGGCAGCCCCCAAGCCAGCCCCGCAGCAAGGAGCCAGAGAGACGCGCCCUCCCCCUCCUCCCACCCAAGCCUCCCGCAGUCCCGGCGAUCGGGGCCAGGCCAGUCGCGGGAGAAAGGUGCGCGCUCACCCGGCCCGGGGAACCGGGGCCUCUCCUGGGCAGGUUCCCCUUUGUCCCGGGACUCCGGGCUCUUCCUCUCCGCCCUCGCCCUGCCGUGUGAAGCCGCCGCUGGGCGCCUCACCGUGAUGUUGCAGUGGAGCCUGAGCUGCCGCGGCGGCUCCUGGUUCUUGUGGAAAAUAGAGGACAACAACUUCAGCUUGGCCUUGAACCCUGACACGGACAUUUUACUCUCACCUCUGGCGGGAGGGGCGCGGAAGCACCAACCAUGUGCCUAAAGCUAACUGUGUCAAAAAGAGCAUGCUUCGAGGGGCUGGAGUGAGCAAUUCAACUUGUGGAGAAAUAAGAAAUAAUAGUGUUGAGACAAGAAACAUAAAACCGCAGGAACUUUUGGAGAAAGAUUUCUUGGGAGGAAGCUAUCCUGAACGCUUAGAGACUUUUCUCAUUUACUGGCACACCAGCUUUAGAGUCCUAGGUCUUCAUCCUGGCUCAGCCACCCUCCAGCUGUGUGAACUUUGAGAAGUUGCUUGACUACACUGAGUCUCGUUGUCACUAUGAGUGGAGGUUGCUACGUUGCUACUGUGUGGAGCACCUACCCCCAAGCACUCUUAUAAGCUGCAGCAUAUCAUGAGUGAUGAGAUCUGUGUACAGGUGACUGACCUUUACCUGGCAGAAAAUAAUAAUGGGGCCACCGGAGGCCAGCCGAACACACAGAACUCAAGAAGCCUCCUGGAGUCAACGUAUCCACAGAAAGCCAAGCAGCUAAUGUCAGAUGAGAAAUGCUUUAAGGUGAGAGUUGCUCAUGUAGUCAAAGACCUUGCUGGUGACAAUGUAAGUUGUUAGGAUUCUCUGAAUCGGAAGUUAUAGCCAGGGUACUUUGACCCCGUGAUUCUACUCCUGGAACUUUUUAGAGUUCCUAAUGAGUUCACCAGAGAAAUACAAAGUGGAAGUAACCAUCUUCCUGGACAAUCUAUUUUGUUUCUUUCUUGCCUUAAAAAAAAAAAACUAGUUAUAUAUGAUUUUUACAAUUUUGUAUUCUUCUUUUUCCCUGAACAUUUUUCAUAAUAUGCUUUGUAUCUCUUAUUGUUAAAAAAAAAAGUUGGUACAUGAAACCCAUGGUCGUGGUCAUUAUAGAAAAAAAAGUAGGCCUGGCACACUUGGCUCACACUUGUAAUCCCAGCACUCUGGCAGGCCGAGAUGGGUAGAUCGCUUGAGACCAGCUUGGGCAAUGCAGCAAAACCCCAUCUUUGCAAAAAAUACAAGAAUACAAAAAUUAGCCAGGUGUGGUGGCAUGCGCCUCUAGUCCCAGCUACUCAGGAGACAGAGGUGGGAGAAUUGCUUAAGCCUGGGAGGUCAAGGUUGCAGUGAGCCCUGAUCAUAUCACUAUGUUCCAGCCUGGGUGACAGAGUAAGACCCUAUCUCAAAAAAACAAAACAAAACAAAAAAUGCAGAUAACCAAAAAAAGUCACCUUAGAAUUCUUUCCUGAAAUUACCAUUGAUGACAUUUCUAGACUUUCCUGUGCUUGAGUAUAUAUUUUGAAAGAGUUUAUACUGGACAAAUGGUCUUUCACUUUAUUUAUUUAUUUAUUUAUUUAGAGACAGGGUCAGGCUCUGUUGCACAGGCUGGAGUGCAGUGGUAUGAUCCUGGCUCACUGCAACCGUGCCUCCUGGGUUCAAGUGAUCAUCGUGCCUCAGCCACCCUAGUAGUUGGAAUUACAUGGGCCACCACACUGGCUAAUUUUUGUAUUUUUAGCAGAGAUGUGUGUCAGAUCCCAGGGUCCAGGUCCAGCCCAUGGUGAAGUCUGAGGGGAGUGGGUGGGUGAGCAGAAAGAACAAUCGGGGGGCCAUAGGCAGGUGAAAGAUAGUUUUAUUCAGCGGCAGCUCUCAUUAACAGCUUUCUUACACUAGCUCUCUUAUUAGCAGCUUACUCUUCCACUGUUCGCCUGUCUCAGCAGCUUGAGCCAGCUGCCCCUACACAUAGCUGCGCAGCCAGCUCUCUCUUGCCUUCAGGGUCAGCAGCUUAACUCCUUCUCUCUCUGGGCAUGAGCAAGCCCAGCUGUGUCCUGGCUCCCUCCCAUCUGCCUGCAAGAUGGACAGCUUUGGCUCUCUCUUUCUCUGGGUGCCAGUGUGCUCAUCAUGUCAAGCCAUGUUAAGCCAAACUGAGCCAAGCCCCGAAGAGCCAUGUCUCUUAUGCACGGCAUCAACAGGGCAGUUAUACCUUUUACAGACAAUAGUGGCAUAAAGCCAGGAAUGAACUUACACAAACAGGUUAUAUUACAAGUGGAGCUGUGUGCUUGCACGCCAAACUCGUGAGUCACACAGGCCUAGAUAUCCACCUCGGCCUAUUCCUUGACCAAAGCACAUCUAUGUACCUUACUAUGUGGUUUUGUAUGUUGGCCAGGCUGGUCUCAAACUCCUGAACUCAAGUGAUCUGCCCGCUUCAGCCCCCAAGUGCUGGGAUUACAGGUGUGAGCCACUGCAUCUGACCGGAAAGGAUGUAUUUUUGCUCAAUUAGCAACACUUCUGGGUCUUUAAUGUCUUUUCUAUGGCUAUUUGAUAUUCACUUUAUAGAGAAUUAAUGCCUGUAUUGUUGGACAUUUAAGUUGUUUCCAAGUUUUCACCAUUAUAACUGUAUUUGUGUGUAUAUAUUAUAUUCUUGCCAGGCUGUAAGCUUUACUAGCAGAGAGGAAAUUUUAAAGCUUUAAAAGAACGCUGAGCUAGAUCUAGCUUCUGGCUCUGUGUGUUUAUUGACCAGUGGUGUGCCUUGAGAAACCAGAACUCUCUGAAUUUCAGUUUUGUCUCUGUGUAAAUGAAGAAGGUUGUAAUAAAAAAAAUCUCAAGUUUCCUUCCA